rnacentral:sRNA from 1 species
UUUACUCUCAAAUGAUAAUGAUUAUUAUUGGAUUAUCUGGUCGCGAGGCCAGACGAUAAGCUCAAGAGACCACGCAGUCGGACUCUUCAGAUUAUCUCCUCAUCAGGCUAAUCACGGAUUCGACCCGGCUCUUCGCCGGGUCUUUUUUUG